CAAGAAACAGAAACAAACAGCAACAACAACAACAACAAAAACAAUGCAUUUAAUUAAAUGAAGAUGAGCUCAUGCUGGAGUAGGGUGGACUCUGAACCCAGUGGGACAAGCGUCCUUAUUAAGAAGAGGGAAAUCUGGACACACACAGAGCAGAGACCGCCGUGUGAAGAUGGAGGCAGAGAUCGGAGAGAUGCUGCCACACGCCACAAAUGCCUGGGGCUCCCAGAAACUACACGGAGCCUCCCCCAGCGGCUUCAGCAGGAGCAUGGCUCGGCCAACACUUUGAUCUUGGUCUUCCAGCCUCCAGAACGUUUUCCUAAAAUUCCCUUUUCCACUGGUGUGUGGUGCAAGAUGAGGCACAUUUUCCAUGGAUGGUGAACAGAGGGAGGAGCCUUUUGAUCACAACCAGGUCACCCCACUUCUAAGCCACUGUGCCUCCAGCCCCACAAGACUAAGGAGAGAGAGCGCAGCGUGGUGGAGAGUGAGCUGUGCUGGGACCAUUGUUUCCGUAACCUCGUUUUCUGUGUCCAGCUGACACACCUUCAAAGUGGCAUCAGGUCCUAAACUGUAGCUUGCAAUGUGCCUGUUUCCAGAAACCAAGGUGAAAGUGCUUUUAGACAGUGUUCCCAUGCAAGAGUCCCUUCCCAGCUUUUUUCUGGAAAUGCAUGUUUCUCUGAACUCUGAGUCCCAAGAAAAAUCACUUGAGACACCAAGAAAAUGGGGGAAGUGCUAAAAUUGUGUGGGAAUUCAAGCUUAACAAUAAACAUCAAGACAUUUUUGAUAAAAAUGAAUCCACUGACAUCGGGGAGGAGCAAGAGAACAGCACGCUGACACUGGGUCAGAGGCUAAGACCGACAUUUCUGGGAACCACUCCCGGAAGGGCACAGAGGAGACGCUUUCAGCCUCUCAUCAGCCAGCCUGGCCUGUAGCUGCUGCACGUUAUGAGUGUGUUCCUGGCAUGACUGCUUCUAACAGCGACCAUUUCAUUAAGUUUUUAAGUGCCUGGUAAUUGCUUGGUUAUGACCGGUGUCUGCUCCAUGGCAGCCUCUUCCUGGUGAGUAUUCCACAUCUGCCAUUGGUUUUUCCUAUCCCUUUCCUACAUUU
rnacentral:lncRNA from 10 species